rnacentral:rRNA from 1 species
UACGAAGGGGGCUAGCGUUGUUCGGAAUUACUGGGCGUAAAGCGUGCGCAGGCGGCUUCUCAAGUCAGGGGUGAAAGCCCAGAGCUCAACUCUGGAACUGCCUUUGAGACUGAAGAGCUUGAGUACGGGAGAGGUGAGUGGAAUUCCCAGUGAUAGAGGUGAAAUUCGUAGAUAUUGGGAAGAACACCGGUGGCGAAGGCGGCUCACUGGCCCGUUACUGACGCUCAGGCGCGACAGCGUGGGGAGUCAAACAGG